rnacentral:rRNA from 1 species
UAGGAGCUUAACUCNUAAAUUGCCAUUGAUACUGGCGGGCUUGAGUGUAGAUGAGGUAGGCGGAAUGCGUGGUGUAGCGGUGGAAUGCAUAGAUAUCACGCAGAACUCCAAUUGCGAAGGCAGCUUACUAAGGUACAACUGACGCUGAAGCACGAAAGCGUGGGUNUCAAACAGGAUUAGAUACCCUGGUAGUCCACGCAGUAAACGAUGAUAACUGGGCGUAUGCGAUAUACAGUAUGCUCCUAAGCGAAAGCGUUAAGUUAUCCACCUGGGGAGUACGCCGGCAACGGUGAAACUCAAAGGAAUUGACGGGGGCCCGCACAAGCGGAGGAACAUGUGGUUUAAUUCGAUGAUACGCGAGGAACCUUACCCGGGAUUGAAAUGUAGACGACGAGCGGUGAAAGUCGCUUUCCCUUCGGGGCGUCUAUGUAGGUGCUGCAUGGUUGUCGUCAGCUCGUGCCGUGAGGUGUCGGCUUAAGUGCCAUAACGAGCGCAACCCCUGUCUACGGUUGCCAUCAGGUGAUGCUGGGAACUCCGUAGAGACUGCCGUCGUAAGGCGUGAGGAAGGUGGGGAUGACGUCAAAUCAGCACGGCCCUUACAUCCGGGGCGACACACGUGUUACAAUGGUGGGGACAAAGGGCAGCUACCUGGCGACAGGAUGCGAAUCUCCAAACCCCAUCACAGUUCGGAUCGGAGUCUGCAACUCGACUCCGUGAAGCUGGAUUCGCUAGUAAUCGCGCAUCAGCCAUGGCGCGGUGAAUACGUUCCCGGGCCUUGUACACACCGCCCGUCAAGCCAUGGGAGUCUGGAGUACCUAAAGUCC